rnacentral:rRNA from 1 species
CGCCUCCUGCAACAUAACCAAGUAUAAGAGGUCCAGCCUGCCCAGUGACCGCAAGUUUAACGGCCGCGGUAUUUUGACCGUGCAAAGGUAGCGCAAUCACUUGUCUUUUAAAUAAAGACCUGUAUGAAUGGCUAAACGAGGGCUUAACUGUCUCCCAUUUCAAGUCAGUGAAAUUGAUCUACCCGUGCAGAAGCGGGUAUAAUUAUACAAGACGAGAAGACCCUUUGGAGCUUAAGGCGUAAAACUCAACCACGUCAAGCGACUCAAUAAAAAGCAAUUUUUUUAAACCUUGUGGUAAAAUGAGACCACUGCCUUCGGUUGGGGCGACCAUGGAGGAAAAAUAAGCCUCCAAGUGGAAUGGGAAAACCCCCUAAAACCAAGAGAGACAUCUCUAAGCUACAGAACAUCUGACCAUAAAUGAUCCGGCUAACCAAGACCGAUCAACGAACCAAGUUACCCUAGGGAUAACAGCGCAAUCCUCUCCCAGAGUCCAUAUCGACGAGAGGGUUUACGACCUCGAUGUUGGAUCAGGACAUCCUAAUGGUGCAGCCGCUAUUAAGGGUUCGUUUGUUCAACGAUUAAAGUCCUACGUGAUCUGAGUU